GAUGAACGCUGGCGGCGUGCCUAAUACAUGCAAGUCGAGCGAACAGACGAGGAGCUUGCUCCUCUGACGUUAGCGGCGGACGGGUGAGUAACACGUGGAUAACCUACCUAUAAGACUGGGAUAACUUCGGGAAACCGGAGCUAAUACCGGAUAAUAUAUUGAACCGCAUGGUUCAAUAGUGAAAGACGGUUUUGCUGUCACUUAUAGAUGGAUCCGCGCCGCAUUAGCUAGUUGGUAAGGUAACGGCUUACCAAGUCAACGAUGCGUAGCCGACCUGAGAGGGUGAUCGGCCACACUGGAACUGAGACACGGUCCAGACUCCUACGGGAGGCAGCAGUAGGGAAUCUUCCGCAAUGGGCGAAAGCCUGACGGAGCAACGCCGCGUGAGUGACGAAGGUCUUCGGAUCGUAAAACUCUGUUAUUAGGGAAGAACAAAUGUGUAAGUAACUAUGCACGUCUUGACGGUACCUAAUCAGAAAGCCACGGCUAACUACGUG
rnacentral:rRNA from 1 species